UACGUAGGGUGCAAGCGUUAAUCGGAAUUACUGGGCGUAAAGCGUGCGCAGGCGGUUAUGUAAGACAGAUGUGAAAUCCCCGGGCUCAACCUGGGAACUGCAUUUGUGACUGCAUAGCUGGAGUACGGCAGAGGGGGAUGGAAUUCCGCGUGUAGCAGUGAAAUGCGUAGAUAUGCGGAGGAACACCGAUGGCGAAGGCAGUCCCCUGGGCCUGUACUGACGCUCAUGCACGAAAGCGUGGGGAGCAAACAGG
rnacentral:rRNA from 1 species